GCAGAAGCUCUUGAUCGAAGCCCCAGUAAACGGCGGCCGUAACUAUAACGGUCCUAAGGUAGCGAAAUUCCUUGUCGGGUAAGUUCCGACCUGCACGAAUGGCGUAAUGAUGGCCAGGCUGUCUCCACCCGAGACUCAGUGAAAUUGAAAUUGCCGUGAAGAUGCGGUGUACCCGUGGCAAGACGGAAAGACCCCGUGAACCUUUACUAUAGCUUGACAGUGAACAUUGAGCCUUAAUGUGUAGGAUAGGUGGGAGGCAAAGAAGCAUGCACGCCAGUGUGUGUGGAGUCGACCUUGAAAUACCACCCUUUAAUGUUUGAUGUUCUAACCUAUACUUCUGAAUCGAGGUAAGGGACACUGUCUGGUGGGUAGUUUGACUGGGGCGGUCUCCUCCCAAAGAGUAACGGAGGAGCACGAAGGUUAGCUAAUCCUGGUCGGACAUCAGGAGGUUAGUGCAAUGGCAAAAGCUAGCUUGACUGCGAGAGUGACGGCUCGAGCAGGUACGAAAGUAGGUCAUAGUGAUCCGGUGGUUCUGAAUGGAAGGGCCAUCGCUCAACGGAUAAAAGGUACUCCGGGGAUAACAGGCUGAUACCGCCCAAGAGUUCAUAUCGACGGCGGUGUUUGGCACCUCGAUGUCGGCUCAUCACAUCCUGGGGCUGAAGUAGGUCCCAAGGGUACGGCUGUUCGCCGUUUAAAGUGGUACGCGAGCUGGGUUUAGAACGUCGUGAGACAGUUCGGUCCCUAUCUGCCAUGGGCGUAGGAAAAUUGAGAGGGUUUGCUUCUAGUACGAGAGGACCGAAGUGAACGCACCGCUGGUGUUCGGGUUGUGAUGCCAAUUGCAUUGCCCGGUAGCUACGUGCGGAAUAGAUAAGUGCUGAAAGCAUCUAAGUACGAAACUAGCCUUGAGAUGAGUUUUCCCUGAAGAGAUUCAGUAAGGUCCGUUUGAGACUAAGACGUAGAUAGGUCAGGUGUGUAAGUGUAGUGAUACAUUGAGCUAACUGAUACUAAUGAACCGAGAGUCUUAACCUU
rnacentral:rRNA from 1 species